GUGGGGAAUCUUGCGCAAUGGGCGAAAGCCUGACGCAGCCAUGCCGCGUGAAUGAUGAAGGUCUUAGGAUUGUAAAAUUCUUUCACCGGGGACGAUAAUGACGGUACCCGGAGAAGAAGCCCCGGCUAACUUCGUGCCAGCAGCCGCGGUAAUACGAAGGGGGCUAGCGUUGCUCGGAAUUACUGGGCGUAAAGGGCGCGUAGGCGGACAGUUUAGUCAGAGGUGAAAGCCCAGGGCUCAACCAUGGAAUUGCCUUUGAUACUGGCUGUCUUGAGUACGGGAGAGGUGAGUGGAACUCCGAGUGUAGAGGUGAAAUUCGUAGAUAUUCGGAAGAACACCAGUGGCGAAGGCGACUCACUGGCCCGUUACUGACGCUGAGGCGCGAAAGCGUGGGGAGCAAACAGGAUUAGAUACCCGGGUAGUCC
rnacentral:rRNA from 1 species